CCGUCAGCCCCGAGGCCCCAGCAGACGCUGACCGAGGGGCUGGCGGGGGAAGCGGCCCCCGAGGCCCCAGCAGACGCUGACCGAGGGGCUGGCGGGGGAAGCGGCCCCCGAGGCCCCAGCAGACGCUGACCGAGGGGCUGGCGGGGGAAGCGGCCCCCGAGGCCCCAGCAGACGCUGACCGAGGGGCUGGCGGGGGAAGCGGCCCCCGAGGCCCCAGCAGACGCUGACCGAGGGGCUGGCGGGGGAAGCGGCCCCCGAGGCCCCAGCAGACGCUGACCGAGGGGCUGGCGGGGGAAGCGGCCCCCGAGGCCCCAGCAGACGCUGACCGAGGGGCUGGCGGGGGAAGCGGCCCCCGAGGCCCCAGCAGACGCUGACCGAGGGGCUGGCGGGGGAAGCGGCCCCCGAGGCCCCAGCAGACGCUGACCGAGGGGCUGGCGGGGGAAGCGGCCCCCACGGGCCGAGGCGCGCUGCGGGGCCGAACGAGGGCGCGCUGCGGGGCCUCUCCGCUGGCGGCCGGGCUGCCCGCCCUCCGGCCCGGCCCCGGCCCGGGCCUCGCGCCGCGGAGCUGUGCGCACCGGGCUCGCUGGCGGCCCCUCGGGCGCACGGGCUCCGGCCGGCCGCCCGCGUGCAGGCCCGAGGCCCGAGCCCCCGCCUCUGGCUGCCAGCCCGCGCUCCGCGUUCACCGCGCUCGGCCCGGGCCCGCCUCUCGGCCGUUUUCGCUUUCGCUUUCCUGCCGCCCUCGUCGAGGAAAAUGAAAGUGCCCGUGGCCGUGGCCCGGGCCCGCGCAGCAGCCGUCGAAGCGAGGGGCGAGGAGAGCAGCGGCGGCCGGCGUGGAGCCUGCGAGCUGCGGCCGCUGCCCGCACCAGGCGAGGUGCCAAAAUUUACAGCCUGUUGGAGGAAGACAGCAUCAACGUAAGAGAACAAUAAGACUGUGUCUAGUUUGGGACUUCCCAACUUACAAGGCCUUGAAAGGUAUUCAAGGAAGACCAGGGUGUUGAAAGGGUUGGCACCUGGAUGAAGUGAAGGUCCAGAGGACUCGUCUUGACUUCCUGGAUAGAGUGUGGGCACUGGGACAGUGAGGACAGCUCAGUAUUCAGCAGUGGAUCAUCAGCGGUGGCUGCAGGGUCUUUAGACCCAAGAAGACUGUGCAUCCUUUGGGAAAACAGGGCAACCUCCCCCAAGCCAGUUGGCUGCGCCCAUAGCCUGGCCCUCCUGCUCUGCAUUCCCGACUUCUCUCCAGGCCUCUCUCCUUCACCCCUUGCUCUUCUGCCAGACCUGCUGAAGUCAGGGUGUCCUGGGCAUUUUUUCUUUUUUAAAGCAAGGAUGGUUUGGGUCUAGAUCUAGAGAAAUACAGGAUGUUUCCUGCAUAGGGAUUCUCUGAUUCUGUGUUAAAUCACAGUCCAGAUUUUGGAGAGUGAAAACACUCAGUAAAAAAUGGAUGUGGGGAAUUGUGUAGCUAUGUGUACUGCUGAUGUAAUUUGAAAAGAGGCAGUGUUAAAAAUGUGUCCAGCCUUGGACCAAGCAAUUCCACUUUCUGGAAUUUAUCCUAAGAAAAUAAUCACGGUUGUGCAAAGAUAUGUGUACAAAGAUAAUUUGUCACUGCACUGUGUUAUAAUACAAAAAAAAGAAAGAAAGAAAAGGAAAGGAAAGAAAGGAAAGAAAGAAAAGGAAGGAAGGAAGGGAAAGAAAGGAAGGAAGGAAGAAAAGAAAAGAAAAAAGAAAACAGUGGAAAGCCCAAGAAAAAGGAAUUGGUCCCUUAAAAUCUGGCAUAUCCACACAAGGGCAUGUCAUACAGCAGAAUGACCUAGGUGUAUACUUACAGGCAAGAAAGAUGUUUGCAUAUAUUGCUAAGUUAAAGAAAAAAAGGGAAAAAGAAAUGUAGAAGGCUCAGCAAACAUGCAAAGCAAGUGGCUUGGGACACAGGCUGGAGGGUUGAAAUCCAGGUCAGUCUCUUAACCCGUGUGAGAGUCAGGCAAGUGAGAUCUCCCUAGGCUCCUACUUCUUUCCAGUAAAAUGGGCAUAAUAACACAAGUCUUGCAGAGGUGCAAGAAUUGGUAGGCAUUAACACAUCUAAAGGCCUGGGCACAGGGUCCCGCCUGUGUUGAGUGCUCAGCAGAUGGGUGCCCGGAUGAGGUGCGAACCAGUAGUAUUUCUACUUGUGUAUAAGCCUGGACACGUUCUAGAAAUUCAUAGUCAAGUAGUGGUUUUAUUUGGCUGGUAGAAUGGUGGGUGAUUUUCAAAAUUUUCUUAUUUUUCUACAAGGAAUACAUGUUACUUAUUUUCAUCGUGAUGUAAUUUUUAAAAGGAAGUAACAAUUGAAAAGGUUAAAAGAAAAAAAAAAAAACCUGCCGGGCAUUUGGCAGGCAAACCAACUGUGCAGCCCCCAGGGCAGGGGAGGAUGGGGGGAGGCAGGAAGGGGGGGAAGAGGAAGGGCAGUGGGUGAAGGAAAGAACUGGAAGGUAAGGCUCAAGCCCCUACAGGCAUGUUCCCCACUGUGGCCCCUCCUGGGGAGCUCCUGGCAGGAGACAUGGUGACUCAAGGCCCAUCUGUCCUGGGAGAUGAGGAUGAGUGUGUGUAGCCCCCUCUGGCCGCUGAGCACAUCAGCAGAGGGGCCCUGGGCCUUCAGAAACCCAGCAUCUUGUCCAGGCCCAGAGUAGGAGAGGCAGGAAGUCCUCGUGAGUCCCUCAGUUCCUCAAAGGAUGACCAGCUCCUCUCUUCUUUGGCUCCCUGGCCGGAUCCACACUCAAGAGCAGGGUCUCCCAAGCCAAUACAGCCAGCUGGGAAAGGGAGCCAGUGACGGUGACCGCUCUGGGGUUGCUGUGCCAGCUCCGGCCCCGCCCCCACCCCACGCACCAACUGCCUUCCCUGGCCAAUGAGGUUGGGAGAAACCCCCCAUGUUAACGGGGUGCCAGUUUAUUGAGCAUUCUUGGGGCAUGGCUCAUCCAUGCAAGUGACUUCUCCAAAUAAUCAAACUUAAUCCCAUUGCAUUGCAAUUUUUUUUUUUUAAGAUUUUAUUUAUUUAUUCAUGAGAGACAGAGAGAGAGAGGCAGAGGGAGAAGCAGGCUCCCAAGGAGCAGGGAGCCCGAUGCGGGACUCGAUCCCAGGACCCUGGGAUCAUGACCUGAGCCGAAGGCAGACGCUUAACCAUCUGAGCCACCCAGGCGCCCUGCAUUGCAAUUUUUAACUGUACUCAUUUUAAAUUAAUUUCUGUUUUAUCACAUUGAUCAAAAUAAUGCCUGCAUAUGGUUUCUAUAUCAACAGUACGAGAGGCUCAUAAUAAAAACCCCCUCCCUUAGCUUCCUCAGUCCCGCUCUCUCUGGAGCUAGCCUCUUCUUUCAAUUCUUUCAUUAGUUUCUAUUUCUGCUUAUAUUAUUAUUUCUUGAUUUACCAAUUUUAGACAUCUGUUCACUUCUUGGGGGAGACAAAAAUUGAGUUUUCCUACGAAGCCACUUCCAGUUCUCCCCCCCCCCCCCAUUUCCCAGUAAGAAUAUAACCCAGUAGUGAAUGUAGAGGUAUUCUUCACUGCUGAGCUAAGUAGUGUGUUGUGUGUCCUUGAGCGCUGGAGGAAAAAAAUUUUGCAUCUUUGAUAAUUUUCUCCCCUUUAUUUUACCCAUUGGACCUACUGGAUUUACUCGUUCUGAUUUUCUUGGAUUUUCUCUAUUUCCCUGCCCUUUGCCCUUGGGUCUCCUUUCUUGGGCAACUUGACUUGACUUUAUCCUCCAACCCUGCUGCUGGUGUUGUUUUAAUUUUGGCUUUCAUAUUUUUAAUAUACAAUUAUUCAUUCUUGUCUUCCAUGCCUUUUUUCAUAGGACCAUAUUCUUGUUUUAUCGAUAUACCCUUGCCCUCUUACCUUUCUGAAGAGGCAUUGUUUAUUUUUCUUCUAUUUGUUUUGUUUUAAUAUUCUUCUAUUCUCUUUUAUUAUCUUUGUUUCCACCUAGCUGCCUUUUGCAUGUUUGUUUUCUCUCUUUCAUGUUGGAGGCUUUUCUCGAAUGCCAAAUAUCCUGGCUGUCUGUUGAUACUUAUGAAUGAAGCAAUAAAAACCUGAAUUAAACUGUAUGUUUGGGGACAACAUAUCAGCUGGGGUUUUGCUACAGGGAGCAAGCCAGUCUUUUCGUUAACAAGCCUCUAAAUGUCAAACUCUGUUCUCUAGAGCUAGGUUUCUCAACCUUGGUGCUAUUGAUAUUUUAGUACAGAUAAUUGCUUGUUGUCAGGGGCUCUUGUGCAUGGUAGAAUGCUUAGCAGCAUCACUGAACCUCCAGAUGCCUUUCCUAGACUUGUGAUAACCAAAAAUGUCUAUAAACAUUGCCAAAUGUCCCCUGGGGGGCAAGAUCACCCCAUUGAGAACUGCUACUCAAGCCAUUCCCCUUCUCAAGAGAAGCAUUCUGACUCCUUGUUCCCGUUACUUAUUACUGCAUAACAAACCACCCCAGAACUUAGCAGCAUAAACAACAGCCAUUUUAUUAUUCUACAAGUCAGGAAUUCAGAAAAGGCACAGCUCCACAAUGUCUGGAGCCCAGGUUGGGGUGACGGAGAUGACCAAAGGCUCAAGUGGCUGGGAUUUGGACCAGCUGGAGCUGAAGGAUCCACUUCCCAGAUGGUUCUUCACUUGGCAGCGAUAGCCGGAAGCCGGGGCUCAGCUGGGACUGGUGACCGGAGAGACGGCACACAGCGUCUCUAGCAUCCAGCCCGGUAGUUGGAUCUCUGAUGUGGUAGCUCAGAGCUCCAGUGUGAAUGCUCCGGCCAGCAAUAUGGGCCCUGCAUGGUCUUUUAUGGCCUGGUCUUGGAAGUCACAUGGCAUCACUUACCACUGUAGUCACAAGGCCCACCCACCGUCAGGGAAGGAGACCGACACCCACUUCUCAAUGGAAGAUGUGUCCAAAAAACUCGCAGCCAUGUUUUAAAUUCCCCACACUCCAGAACAGGGUGAUAUAUGCCUGGGGCAGCGUGGGGUGUGAGGCAUGGAGACGUUGAAGCUCACUGUUCAGUCUUCAGACUUUGCCCUCGCCCCCCAUUUGCAUCCUUGCAUUCAUCCGCCGUCUCUUCUGCCUCCAUCUCUCCUGUUCAGGAUCUUUAGUCUUGUGCUUCAUGGGGCAGAGCGUGGGGUGGGUCCGAGAAGGAUUUCCCUGAUUCCUUACCCCACUGCCUCCUAUGCCUGACCCCCACCAUCAUAAUCCCAAAUUUCCCUGAGGUCUGAGCUCCUCCAGGGUCCCGGGGGUGAAGGGGCUGGCCUCCUGUCAGCAUCCCCGUCCGCAGGCCCUAGGAGACUAGCUUCCUCCAUGGCAGCCAUCAUUCCUCCAUCUGCUUUCCAGCUUCCUGGAGUCUACUCAAAUCUCAUCCACCCGUGUCUCCUUCACCAUUCUCUUUGCUCUUGAGGGUUGAUACCGUUUUCUUCCUUUUUUCUUUCUUUUUUAAUUUGUUAUUUAUUUUUUAAGUUUUUAUUUAAAUUCCAGUCAGGUAACAUACGGUGUGACAUUAGUUUCAGGUGUACAAUGUAGUGACUCAACACUUCCAUAAGUCACCCCGUGCUCAUCACAAGUGCCCUCCUUAAUCCCCAUCACCUGUUUCACCCCUCUCCCCAAUAUACCAUUUUAUCUCCUGACUGGCAUUUCAGUGGCACUUCAGGAGAGAAAGAAGACGGGGACAUGUGAGUGACCUGAUGUCUUUAACUGGAAGCCCUGUUGUGCUUCUUUCGGAAGGAGGCACGUCUCUCAAGUGUGUUAUGAUCUUCCCUGCCCAGUUAAAGCUCUAUUAAGUAGUGCAGUGGCUGCAUUUAACCCUUGGCUGGUAAUUCAGCGUCAUCUUUAUGAGUGUACAUGUUUACCUUGGAAUUAUGAAGCUAAGUAGAGCAAUUUGUCCCUCCACGAUGGGGACUGGGAUCACGGUGCUAAAACCCCGUAAGCCUUUCCUCCUGGUCGCUCUGUCUCGGGCCGCCUCUCGUCCCAUUCAUUUGUGGGGACGGUGCCACAUUACAGCACAUUAACUUCCAAUCUACUCCUCCUGAAGUGACUAAACCAGACGACUGUGCAGGGUAUCCCCCCCCACUGCCCCGUCCCCACCCAUUUCCUACCCUUCCUCACUCCUUCCCACAUUUGACGUUCAUGGAUUGCAUCAACCAGGCUCCAUGGCGUCUUGCUUCCAGUUGGGCUUGGCCAACGGAAGACCCCUUCAGCAGGUUGGAGAAUAAUGGCGGGGUGCUUUAGGGGGCUUUAUCCCCCUAGUUCCCUCUCUUGCUACGCCUCGGGUCAGCAGGGUCUGUGUUCUUCACCCUAAAGCCACAAGCCCCACAGCAGCCCUCUCCUCCAGCCCUGCGUAGGUUGCUCUAACCUCUCCCUUGCCCUCCUCCCUUCAGGCUGCGGGUACCAGCUCCCCCAUGUUGCUGGCUCAGAGGGCUUCUCUUGCCCUUGUCCUUUCCCUUCGUGUUGCUCACCCUGUACACAGUCCUUCCUUGAGCUCUCCUCGGUUACUUGUGCAGCAUGUAUCUGUUUCCCACUGGGACUCUGACGAUACAGAAACUUUUUCUCAUUUGCAUCUAAAACAAGAAUAGUCCCUGAGAGAAACCCUCCCAGUUCUUUGUAUGAGCUUUGUGACAUCUCUGGACUACACAGGGGCUUUUAAAAAAUUCACUUUCGAGUUUUUAACUAUAAUGCAAGAUAGAAGGUACUGGAUUAGUGACUUCUCCAUAUGGGGGAAUAUUACUUACUGGUGUUUUGAGGAGGAAAAUAAGCCUGUCAAUAAAAGGAAACCAGGAGACAGAGUAUAUAAUGACUUUCAGAAAUCAUAUGACCAGAAAACGUCCACAGUUUCAGAAAAUGAAGAAAUACCUUCCUGAACAACAGAUCCUUCUUGGGUCUUUAAGGUGAAGUGUAGGUUUGGGGGACAUCCAGGCCAUGUCUGGGUGGGAUUCCCCUAGGUCUGACAUUAGGAGUCCCUUAGGUCAAACCCACGAAGCCUGUGUGUUUCCAGCUCAGGGGCCUCCUUGAUGCUUUUGCUCCGAGGAGUAUCGUGUGCUUGUUCCCUAGAUGCGGAUAACUCGGAGCCUAGAGAGGCCCACAGCCUAGGCCCUGAUCACAUCUCACGCCCAGGAGGAGCGCCCGAAGCCCAGCUGUCCUCCAGCCACCUCCAAGAUCGGCCUGCACGACUCCCCUGCUGGGAACACUCUAUGGAUUCUCUUGCCUCCUCGCUCUCCCGGCCUAGUCAGACCUCAGUUUUGGUUUAAUUUGUGCAGCCCUUUGAAGCAUGCGUACCUCUAGGGAAAAAGCAGAAUCAAGUACUCUUCUUGGCCACCCAUUUCCUGAAGCGUGAAAAGGAAACAUUUCAUCAGUGCUUUGUCAAGGAGACAACAGGAAGGGGUAGCGGCUCUCUGGCUGGCAGGGCGAGCCGCCUGGCGUUUCACAGAGGAGGGAGGUGAGAUGGCACAUGGGCGCCGAGGCCCCAGCCAGGGGCAGCAUGGACACAGCCCUGGGCACAGUGUCCCACGGGCCACUCCGGCAGAGCCACGAACCCUCAGCCCUCCUGGGCAGGGAGGAAAGGCCUGGGGCAUCACCCCCAUUGCCCAGGGGGGAGACGAGAGCCAGAGAAGUGGAAAGUGACAGCUUCGGUGGAGAGACACUCCUGUCUUUACACCCUGGCUUCCUUAUUCAUGCUUCUUUCACUCCUCGGGAUUUUUUUUUUUUUUUUUUUUUUAGUUUGGGGAAUGGGGACUAGACAGUUGAAGACAGGUUUGUUUCUAACCUGGCUACCUUCCAGUGAUGUAGCCUUUAUCAGUUUAGCUUGUCCUCUUCCAGCCCACGCUACUCUGUGUCCCUCGGCCAAGGGAGCUCAGCCAAGGCCCCCCCAGCGUCCCACCCAGCAGAGUUGCAAGAGGCCCCAGGCCCCUUCCUGUUCACUCCUGCUCUGCAGACAUGAUGCCAUGAGGCAGACAUGUAGGGACAUGGACGCAAGGGGCAGCCCGUGGCUGGAUAGUGGAGGGCCCUGAAGGGCUGGGGAAGCUUCUAAGGGAAGCAGAGUCCUUCCCACAGCAGCAGGUUCAUGGUCUGUGCACAUGGGGGAUGAGGCCCGGGAGGGCAGAGCUCCUGGGUAGCACGUAAACCCGUGUCUUGUCUUCUCCCAUCCAAGCUGCCUGUUGUGGGCCAGAGUACGCCGGCGGUGGCCAUUGCUGGGGUGGCUGCCUCUAACCACAAAGAGAGGAAGGAACAUUCUCAGCCUGGGCACUUGAACCCAGCACAUUGCCAUCCUCAGCAAGAUGUUGCAAGUUCCUAAUCUGGACCCAGAGGCCAGGGAGUCGAGGUGUCAUCUGGAGCCCAGAGUUGACUGUUACCCACAAACACAGACAUCCGUGGGGCCUACAACACCCUCUCCCCGGUUGUCACAUCCUCAGCAGUGCCUCCGGCCUGGGUGGUAUCCUGGGGAAGCCCAGCUGCCACCUCUCUAAAAACGGCCCCAGCUGUGCCAACAAAGCCACUCGCCUGGGGCGGGGCUGGGGUCCACCUUGCUGUCAUUUCACACCAUUAUGGACUGAUGCAACCAGGUUUCAUCAGACACCACCGGGGAAGAAGCACAUUACAACAGCGUGCUCAGCACUUCCCCUGCCCGUGCGCAAGGCUUGCUCACCUCAGCCAGGAUGGACCUCUUCCCGCCCUGGUAUCUCACCCCGCCAGGCUGCGAAGCACCUUCUGCGGCGGACCAGAGCAGAUCGCCUCCUCCCAAGAAAUUAAGCCAGUGGCUUUCGAUCCUGGCGGGGCACCGCUGUCAUCAAGGAUAUUAAAAAGAUAUGGAUGCCUGUCCCUCACUCUCACCCCAAAGAUACCAACUGAAUUGAUCUGGGCUAAAAAACAAAAACAAAAACCUAAGUGUGUAUUGAAGGAUCACAUACAAGCAACACCACCACCACCACAAACCUGAGGUGUAAAUCUCAGUGAAUUUUCACUCGGCGAACCCCGGGUUACCCGAAGUAACCAGCGUCCAGGUCAAGAAGCAGAACAUCACCAACGUCCCCUGGUGCCCUGAAGGGUAACCACCAUUCUCACUUCUAAAGGUAGAAAUGAGUCUUGCCUGUUUUCAAGCUUUAUAUUAUAUAAAGGGAAUCAUACAGUAUUUGGGGUUUUGUGUCUGGUUUCUUCCACUCAACAUUGUGUGUGUGAGAUUCACGCAAGCUGCUGCUUAUAGUUGCUGUAGUCCGUUCGUUCUCAUUGAUAUAGAGUAUUCCACCGUGUGGAUAUCACGGUUGCUGGGUAUUUGGGUAUUUGGGGUUUUGGGGGCGGGUUGGGGUAGUUAUGACUACUACUGCGAUGAGCAUUCCCGUGGCGUCUUUCAGAGCACAUUUGUAUGCAUGUCCGUUGGGUGCAUACUGAGGAGUGGGAUUGCCAGGGCAGGUAUGGAUAUGAAUGCGUUCAACUUUCGUACCUUGUGCCUAAUGAUCUCCCAAGGUGGCCGUACCCAUCUGCACCCCUCCAGCAACGGGUGAGAGUGCUGGUUGCUUCACAUCUUUGCUGGUGAUUGGUAUUUGACAUCUUUUUCAUGUUAGCCAUUCUGGUGGGUGUGUAAUGGUAUGGCAGUGUGGUUUUAAUUUGCAUUUCCCUGAUGACUAAUACAGUUGAGCACCUUUUCAUAUGUUUCUUAGCCAUUUAGAUCCCCUCUUUGCAAAGUGCCUGUUGAAGUAUUUGGACACGAAUAUUUUUAAGAAGCUCCUUAGGUGGUUCUUAUGUGCAGCCAAGGUUGAAAACCAUUGAACUAAACCACAAGUUAGUAUCUGCUGCUCUGUUGCUCAAUGUCCUGCCCUUGAACUCGGAGUAUUUUGGAUCUGAGGGAACCUCAUGGACCUGGGGCAGUUGCAACUCUCUGGGAACGUAGCUCCCCCUCCAAAGGGCCCAGAGAGGGCCUGUGGUGUCCACAGCUGCCACAGACAUUUCCUGACCACAAAAAUGAUCCCUUGCUGAUCCCCUCAGAGCCCUAGGCAAUCAUGUGGAGGAAGUGGAGGGGCCACAUGCCAGGUACUUCCCGGUUUCUAGGCCAGCACGAACAGGACACAGCUCAUGUGGGGGUUGUGGUCAGCCUGGGGACAGUGGAACAUGUGUGACAGGGGCCUGGGUGGGGCUGAGCGAGGCCUGCCAUCUGUGGCCUUUCUCCUGGGUGAAAGGGCAGCCAGUGAGGCUCUCCCACGUGGGUCCAAGCCUGGCCAGGUCUAGAGUUCUGCAUGUUUGCAUAGAGGUCCCCGUUGUUGCUUCUCUUACCUGUGACGGUCUCCUCUGUCCUCUGCUCCCCACCGUGGGGGCCCUGCUCUGGGACCUUCCCUGGCUACCCCACCCCUGCAGGGCCCCCUCACCCUGCUGAGCUCGUGCAGCACUUAGAGUGAGACCAUGCAGUGGGGCUUCUGUUUGUACACUGCUUUGUACCGGGUCCAGGCUGCAUCAUCGGGUUCAUCUCAUCCCCCACCCUGGACUGCACUCUCACCCCGGGGACUGCUGAGCACCUGUCUCCGCUCCCCAACAGUGGGUAGAAUGGCAUUUGGUAACUCAGUGACAACAAGCCCCGACUUGAAAAGGAAGAUGCAGUAAAAAUACAGACCACACACCAAGUCAGCAUUUUCCUUCCCUCAGACUGGAGCUGUGCAGGUGUCAAGCAGAGCUACCCUUUGUGGGCUCCCUGUUGGCAUGUGCCCCACAUCUAGUAGGUGAGGAGCUCUAUGCAGUGAGUCCGGAGUCGGACCACCAGCAGGGGACUAGGAUGCUGGUGCCUGGCUGGGUGUGCAGAAAGGCCCCUUAGGCAGAGGGGCUCCCAACACCCUGAUGGAAUUCACCAUGGUGUCCAGGGCUUGGGAAGCAGGGGGACAACCUUGUCAGUGCCUGUCCACAUGUUCUUUGAAAAGAGCAUGGUCCACCUUCUGUGGACUCAAGUCUUCUAGCGGUGUGACGUGAGAUGGAGGCACAUGGGCAAAGUUGACCUUUGGGAGACUGGUGAGCACGGAACCAGCUCUGGACUCCUCGUUGUGCCAUGUUCCAUGGAUUCAGGCCCAUCUUGGAAAUUACUCUGGACAUAGAACCUCUCGUGUCUGGUGGUCUAAGUACAGAUCUCGGUGUUCUCUUGAUUGGCACAAAUGGUAGUCUGCACCAAGCAGCGAUCAGAGUGCUAUCUGAAGCCUGGGAUGGUAAUGGGGAGAAGCCCCUCUAGCAGUGCAAGGGCUCCAGUUGCUUCCCAUCCUUGCCAACAACUGGCAUGUUCUGUCUUUGGCCCUCUGAGUCUCAUAAAAAGAGAGACCCCUCUACUCCCCUUGAGCGUGCAUCCCAGCCUCUCCCCUUUCACAUUCUACUCCACUGGCUGCCAUGGUGCAGUGUUUGACGUGCUCCCACCAACAUUGUCUGUGUCAUGCUUCCCCCCGCCCCUUCCCCAUGCAGUCCGCCACGUUGUCUGCCUCUCCCAGCCGAGACUCUGGACAGAGACAGCGCCUCUCUCCUCCUCCUCCUCAGGACUUACUCAGCAGGUAUUCCUUUUACCCCUGCCUGUGCUGAGCUUCACACACAAGACCCCUGGCCCUGCUCUCAUGAAGCUUCCAGCUGAGGAGGGAAGACAAAGUAUUAACAAGGCCUUAUGUAAUGGCGGUGGGGAUAAGCGCAGCCGUAGCCAACAGCAUGGGCCACGUCCUCUCUGCACCUGCAAACGCCCGCGUGUCCUUCAAGGCCUCAGCCCACGUGUCACCACAUCUGUGCCACCUACCCCACCUUGCAUCGCCCGACAGGGUAGCCCUUUCGGCCCAGAACAGCCUUGGUUAUAACUGCUCUGCACAGAGGAUGAAAUCCAAGGGCAGAACCCAGAUCACACUCCCCUCAGAGUCCCCUGCCCAGCACAGAGCCCUGAGCGCUCAUCACAGGUACUUAGUUGAUGAAUGUAAACUCUCGCCAAGACUGAGCUGAAGUGUGUGAAUGUCUCCGUGGGCUGAGAAUCAUUGCUUGCUUGCUUGUUUCUUUUUUUUUUUUUAAAAUAGACUUUUGUUUCUUUUUAUCAUGAUGAAAGUAAUUUGGAUUACGUCAUAACAAUGUGAAUUUACUUAAGAAUACUGAACGAUAUGCUUACAAACGGUUAAGAUGGUAAAAUUUAUGUUACGUGUAUUUUACCACACUUUAAAAGAAUAGAAAGAAUGCAAAGAAUAAAUACAGACAAGGGGAAUAAGAGAGAAAGGUCCAUAUUAUCAAGAAAUAAAGGACAAAGGCUUUGAUUCAGGAUUUGAUUCAGACAGAAUUAGAUUAAAAAAUAAGUAAUUUGGAUUAGGGAAGUGCAAAUCAAAACCAUAAUGAGAUAUGACUUCAUACCCUUUAGGUGUGUGAAAAUAACGAGUGUGGGCCAGUGUGGAGAAAUUAGAACUCAGUGCAUUGCUGGUGGGAAUGUAAAAUGGUGUAGUUGCUGUGGAAAAUGGUAUGGUGUUUCCUGAAAAAAAUUAAACAUAGAGGGGCACCUGGGUGACUCCGCUGGUUGUGUCUGCCUUCGGCUCAGUCAUGAUCCCAGAGUUCCAGGAUCGAGCCCUUCGUCCGUCUGUCCGGCUCCCUGCUCAGUGGGGAGCCUGCUUCUCCCUCUGCCUGCCACUCCCCCUGCUUGUGCUAUCUCACUCACUCUUUCUCUC